rnacentral:rRNA from 1 species
CGGCCGCAGUAAUUUGACUGUGCUAAGGUAGCAUAAUAGCUUGUCUYUUAAUUAGAGUCUAGAAUGAAAGAUAAAAUAAAUUCCAACUUUCCUUCUUUAAUAAAUUUAACUUUAUUAUUAAGUGAAAAGGCUUAAAUGCUUAAAAAAGACGAUAAGACCCUGUGAAAUUUCAUUUGAUAUAGAAUUAUAUUUGUUUCUUUAUAGAAAAAUAAAUGUAACUUUAAAUAAUUUAGUUGGGGCGACUUUAAUUUAAACAUAAACAAUUAAAAUACUUAAUAAAUAAAUUUAAAUUUAUGUAGAACCUAUAUAAAGGUAAAUUGACUAAAUUACUCCAGGGAUAACAGCGUAAUUUUUUUGGAGAGUUCUUAUCAAUAAAAAA